UUUCAAAUUAGUGGGAAGAGUAUGAUUUCAAGCCGGUCUUUUUGAUUUAUGAAAGAUUUUUAUAUCAAGGUGAUGACGCGAAAAUUUGGCAAGGGUGGUCAAUUUACCAGAUUGCUAUCCACUGAUAUGCUCUUCCGUGGGCUUAUGCAAGACUGUACAACAGUCAGUCGUCGAAUCGUAUCCAAUUUAGUUGGUAAUUGUGGUGAAACAUGGACUAUACUUGUACAGAGGGAAUAUGAUGAUCUAUAUCUACACCAUGGGAAGUAGUGUUUAUGCAAUAUUCACUCAAAGCUGGAUGCCGUGUUGUAUUUGAGUACCCAACAUUUCUUGGAAUGCACUAUUUGUAUAUAAUGCAGUGUCCAUCAGGGUGUCCAUCACUCUCACAUGGAGGGGGACCCACUAUAGAUAUUAAAAAAAUGUAUUUGAUUGAU